GGCGACAUAGCCAAGCGGUAAGGCAGAGGUUUGCAAAACCUUUAUUCCCUAGUUCAAAUCUAGGUGUCGCCUCCA
rnacentral:tRNA from 4 species